CACAAGCGGUGGAGCAUGUGGUUUAAUUCGAUGCAACGCGAAGAACCUUACCUGGUCUUGACAUCCACGGAAGUUUUCAGAGAUGAGAAUGUGCCUUCGGGAACCGUGAGACAGGUGCUGCAUGGCUGUCGUCAGCUCGUGUUGUGAAAUGUUGGGUUAAGUCCCGCAACGAGCGCAACCCUUAUCCUUUGUUGCCAGCGGUCCGGCCGGGAACUCAAAGGAGACUGCCAGUGAUAAACUGGAGGAAGGUGGGGAUGACGUCAAGUCAUCAUGGCCCUUACGACCAGGGCUACACACGUGCUACAAUGGCGCAUACAAAGAGAAGCGACCUCGCGAGAGCAAGCGGACCUCAUAAAGUGCGUCGUAGUCCGGAUUGGAGUCUGCAACUCGACUCCAUGAAGUCGGAAUCGCUAGUAAUCGUGGAUCAGAAUGCCACGGUGAAUACGUUCCCGGGCCUU
rnacentral:rRNA from 1 species